AUUGGAUGAGCCCGCGGCCUAUCAGCUAGUUGGUGAGGUAGUGGCUCACCAAGGCGACGACGGGUAGCCGGCCUGAGAGGGCGACCGGCCACACUGGGACUGAGACACGGCCCAGACUCCUACGGGAGGCAGCAGUGGGGAAUAUUGCGCAAUGGGCGAAAGCCUGACGCAGCAACGCCGCGUGCGGGAUGAGGGCCUUCGGGUUGUAAACCGCUUUCAGCAGGGAAGAAGCGAAAGUGACGGUACCUGCAGAAGAAGCACCGGCUAACUACGUGCCAGCAGCCGCGGCCGAAU
rnacentral:rRNA from 1 species